GAUGAACGCUGGCGGCGUGCCUAAUACAUGCAAGUCGAGCGAACAGAUAAGGAGCUUGCUCCUUUGACGUUAGCGGCGGACGGGUGAGUAACACGUGGAUAACCUACCUAUAAGACUGGGAUAACUUCGGGAAACCGGAGCUAAUACCGGAUAACAUAUUGAACCGCAUGGUUCAAUAGUGAAAGGCGGCUUUGCUGUCACUUAUAGAUGGAUCCGCGCCGUAUUAGCUAGUUGGUAAGGUAACGGCUUACCAAGGCAACGAUACGUAGCCGACCUGAGAGGGUGAUCGGCCACACUGGAACUGAGACACGGUCCAGACUCCUACGGGAGGCAGCAGUAGGGAAUCUUCCGAAAUGGGCGAAAGCCUGACGGAGCAACGCCGCGUGAGUGAUGAAGGUCUUCGGAUCGUAAAACUCUGUUAUCAGGGAAGAACAAAUGUGUAAGUAACUGUGCACAUCUUGACGGUACCUGAUCAGAAAGCCACGGCUAACUACGUG
rnacentral:rRNA from 1 species